GAGAGCCACAAGUCUGAAUUUAUAGAGCUGAGGAAGUGGCUGAAAGCUAGGAAGUUUCAAGAUUCAAACUUAGCGCCUGCUUGUUUUCCAGGUACAGGAAGAGGGCUGAUGAGUCAAACAUCCCUGCAGGUGAGAACUGUUCUUUGAUCCUUGAAACCCAAUGUAGAUUUUGCUGCUUUGUUUUUGCGGUUCAAACGAAGUGAAUUAAAAAAAUUUCAGACAUACAGUCAUUUCUUACUUACCUAAUAGAUAUAUUUGAAUAUGGUUCUAUCAACUAGGAUUAAGUUUGUUGCAAUAAAAGACAAGCCCAAAAUUGAGGUGCUUAAGCAGCAUGGAAAUUUAUUUUGUUCUCACUCAUAGAAACAAGCUUGGAGUAGGCUGACCCUGGCUGGUGGGGCAGUCCCAUGGCUGGCAGAGGCCCCAACUCCUUCCAGCUCUCUCAUGUCCUUAAGGGAACUGCACCCUCAGGUCAGGUUGUGGGUCUUGGAACUUGGGCAUCAGGAGAGAGCAAGCGGGUGAGGAAGGGCAGGCUUCCUUCCUUUAAGGAAAUUCCAGUCCCUCUGUCCUUGGCCAGUGAUCAGGUACACAGCCCUAGCCAGCUGCAAGGGAGGAGAUCCGUGCUGGCCUUUCCCCAGCCACGUGCCCUCUAAGUAGGAUUCCGUUAGCGAGGAGGGGGAGAGAAGGCGUGUUGGGAUAGGCAACUAGCAAUCUCUGCCACAGCACAUGUUACAUGUCAGAUCACGUUUUCAGUAUGCCAAGGGAGCUGCUGCUGUCUGUGAGGCAGUCGUGAUGUGG
rnacentral:lncRNA from 1 species